GCUGGCGGCGUGCCUAAUACAUGCAAGUCGAACGAACGGAGGAAGAGCUUGCUCUUCCAAAGUUAGUGGCGGACGGGUGAGUAACACGUGGGCAACCUGCCUGUAAGUUGGGGAUAACUCCGGGAAACCGGGGCUAAUACCGAAUGAUAGAGUGCGGCGCAUGCCACGCUUUUGAAAGAUGGUUUCGGCUAUCGCUUACAGAUGGGCCCGCGGUGCAUUAGCUAGUUGGUAG
rnacentral:rRNA from 1 species